UACGAACCGUGCGAACGUUAUUCGGAAUCACUGGGCUUAAAGGGCGCGUAGGCGGGCAGUCAAGUCAGGGGUGAAAUCCUGGAGCUCAACUCCAGAACUGCCUUUGAUACUGACGGUCUUGAGUUCGGGAGAGGUGAGUGGAACUGCGAGUGUAGAGGUGAAAUUCGUAGAUAUUCGCAAGAACACCAGUGGCGAAGGCGGCUCACUGGCCCGAUACUGACGCUGAGGUGCGAAAGCGUGGGGAGCAAACAGG
rnacentral:rRNA from 1 species